rnacentral:rRNA from 1 species
AACGAACGCUGGCGGCAGGCCUAACACAUGCAAGUCGAACGCCGUAGCAAUACGGAGUGGCAGACGGGUGAGUAACACGUGGGAACGUACCCUUCGGUUCGGAAUAACUCAGGGAAACUUGAGCUAAUACCGGAUACGUCCGAGAGGAGAAAGAUUUAUCGCCGAGGGAUCGGCCCGCGUCUGAUUAGCUUGUUGGUGAGGUAACGGCUCACCAAGGCGACGAUCAGUAGCUGGUCGAGAGGAUGAUCAGCCACAUUGGGACUGAGACACGGCCCAAACUCCUACGGGAGGCAGCAGUGGGGAAUAUUGGACAAUGGGCGCAAGCCUGAUCCAGCCAUGCCGCGUGAGUGAUGAAGGCCCUAGGGUUGUAAAGCUCUUUUACCCGGGAAGAUAAUGACUGUACCGGGAGAAUAA